CAGUGGUGAAAUAUUCGGGCUCAACCGGGAUACUGCCAUUGAUACUGUAUAGCUGGAAUAUGGUUGCUGUGGGUGGAAUGUGUGGUGUAGCGGUGAAAUGCAUAGAUAUCACACAGAAUAUCGAUUGCGAAGGCAACUCACAAAGCCAUUAUUGACGCUGAUGCACGAAAGUGUGGGGAUCAAACAGGAUUAGAUACCCUGGUAGUCCACACUGUAAACGAUGAUAACUAGCUGUCGGCGAUAGAUAGUCGGUGGCUAAGCGAAAGCGAUAAGUUAUCCACCUGGGGAGUACGACCGCAAGGUUGAAACUCAAAGGAAUUGACGGGGGCCCGCACAAGCGGAGGAACAUGUGGUUUAAUUCGAUGAUACGCGAGGAACCUUACCCGGGCUCGAACGGUGCAGGAAUAUGGUAGAGAUAUCAUAGCUAGCAAUAGUCUGUAUCGAGGUGCUGCAUGGUUGUCGUCAGCUCGUGCCGUGAGGUGUCGGCUUAAGUGCCAUAACGAGCGCAACCCUUGUCGUUAGUUACCAUCAAGUAAAGUUGGGGACUCUAGCGAGACUGCCACCGUAAGGUGUGAGGAAGGGGGGGAUGACGUCAAAUCAGCACGGCCCUUACGUCCGGGGCGACACACGUGUUACAAUGGUAGGUACAGAGGGGCGCUAUCCAGUGAUGGAGUGCGAAUCUCAAAAACCUAUCUCAGUUCGGAUUGGAGUCUGCAACUCGACUCCAUGAAGUUGGAUUCGCUAGUAAUCGCGCAUCAGCCAUGGCGCGGUGAAUACGUUCCCGGGCCUUGUACACACCGCCCGUCAAGCCAUGGAAGCCGGGGGUGCCUGAAGUUCGUGACCGCAAGGAGCGACCUAGGGCAAAACUGGUAACUGGGGCUAAGUCGUAACAAGGUAACC
rnacentral:rRNA from 1 species